rnacentral:ncRNA from 1 species
UUCUUCGGGGUUGGGUGAAAUUCCCUACCGGCGGUGACAGCCCGCGAACUGAACGAACCGUUCAGCCGAUUCGGUGAAAUUCCGAUGCCGACAGUACAGUCUGGAUGAGAGAAGA